GACGAACCGUGCGAACGUUGUUCGGAAUCACUGGGCUUAAAGGGCGCGUAGGCGGACCACCAAAGUCCGGGGUGAAAUCCUUCAGCUUAACCGGAGAAUUGCCUGGGAUACUGGUGGUCUUGAGGGAGGUAGGGGCACGCGGAACUUCCGGUGGAGCGGUGAAAUGCGUUGAUAUCGGAAGGAACGCCGGUGGCGAAAGCGGGCGUGCUGGCCCUCUUCUGAC
rnacentral:rRNA from 1 species